GCUUUUAGCUGCUACAGUCAGCUUUUUGUUAAGGUAAGCGUUAGUGAAAAUACACUACAAGAAUGACUACAGGAGACCGCAAAUGAUCAGCGGCAAAACAGAGGUGUGAUAGGACUUCUGAUCCCAAUAUACUCCAAGUCCAGGAAAGUUCCUAGAAACAGAAGAGUUUCUCUUCCCAUCAAAGACAUUUCCCUGAAUUUGAGCUGGUGAAAAUGCAUGCUGCUGGCGACUCCAGGGGACAGUGAAUGAAGAGCGGCAUCAGGAAGACAGACUGUCCUCUGUACUCCUGACUGCUUUCUUCUGAUUCUUGCAUUGACCUUUGAUCUUCAUAAACACCCUUGCACCCUCCUGCCUAUCUAAUCUAGCUGGUUAAUCCUGUUGUAGACAUCACCUGCAGGCAAGGCCAGGACACGCUACAUGAAAAUCUGCUGAAUCACCCUGAAUCGAAUAGUAAGCCGGGAUGUUCUUGUAUUGCACAACAAGGCUGUCUGCAUUGCGGUCUAUCAAACAAAGACAGUAUCGGUACCGUACAGGGCUCUCUCCUUCAGGUCCUUCCCGUAGAGGUUGUACUUUGCUGCUAUGUAGUUGCCAAUGGCUCUAGUCUGCACCAUCUUGAUCCCGUCGAUCUCCACCAUGGGCACUUGCUGAAACAGCAGGGCUCCACCUAGAAUAAAAGGGACAUGACAAACAAGACAUUCAGCCUCUGAAGGAGUACCAUCAGUGGGUAUCUGGCAAAAUGUCUUACGAUCCAUAUUAUUUUUGAUUUGAGACAGUCUUCGUCACUCUCAGAUUAUGGUAUGGAAAAAGCUUACCAUAAAAUGAAGAAGCAUUUGUGGGUGAUAGGUUAAUCUAAUAUUAUAACAAUCAGCUUCUUGAAGUUUCUUCAAAUCUGAUGAAGCACCCGAAUGCAGAAGCUUCAGGAAUCACACACUGAAAAGGACAAGUCCUGCACUGCACGGUCCUAACUCAGAUGAAUUUCCAUUGAGGUUGACACAGAUGGGAAGGACUGAAGGACCUGACCCAUCUGACCCAUCACAAACCAGUUUCUGUCAUGCUACGAUAAAUAUUAUGGAAAUAUGGACUAUUUAAAAGCUUGUCAACAUGAAUGCCAAUACAAAUGUUUAUACUUAUCUUUGUGACUACUCUACUGACUUUAACUGAUCAGAGAUGUAAGUCAGAGUAAUUACUCUAUAGGAUGACAUUUAUUGUCUUAAAUAACCUAUCGAUUAUGUCCAUCUUUGGAUCCACUGUAAGGCAAGUGUGCAUAGAAACUGUUUGCUAUUAAAGGCAUAUUUUUAUUAUUA